CCUACGGGGGGCAGCAGUGGGGAAUAUUGGGCAAUGGGCGCAAGCCUGACCCAGCAACGCCGCGUGAAGGAAGAAGGCUUUCGGGUUGUAAACUUCUUUUGUCAGGGAAGAGUAUAAGACGGUACCUGACGAAUAAGCCACGGCGAACUAUGUGCGAGCAGCCGGGGUAAUACGUAGGGGGCAAGCGUUGUACGGAUUUACUGGGUGUAAAGGGCGUGUAGCCGGGUUGACAAGUCAGAUGUGAAAUCCUGGGGCUUAACCGCAGAACUGCAUUUGAAACUGUCGAACUUGAGUACUGGAGAGGCAGAUGGAAUUCCUGGUGUAGCGGUGAAAUGCGUAGAUAUUAGGAGGAACACCAGUGGCGAAGGCGGUCUGCUGGA
rnacentral:rRNA from 1 species